ACCGGCAGCUCAAGUGGUGGCCAUUUUUAUUGGGCCUAAAGCGUUCGUAGACGGUUUGAUAAGUCUCUGGUGAAAUCCCGCAGCUUAACUGUGGGACUUGCUGGAGAUACUAUUAGACUUGAGGUCGGGAGAAGUUAGGGGUACUCCCAGGUUGGGGGUGAAAUCCUGUAGUACUGGGAGGACCACGUGUGGCGAAGGCGCUUGUCUGGAACGAUCCUGACGGUGAGUAACGAAAGCCAGGGGUGCGAACCG
rnacentral:rRNA from 1 species